UUGAUUUUCCAGCAGAAAAGUCGUAAGCGUUCAAAAACUUUUGGAGAAAUUCCAGAACAAGUUUGAAGUUAUCCUGGCCAACACUACCAGACACAUCAACCACCAAGAUCACAUCAGACACAGUGSUGCAUUCUAGAAAGUGCCGUGAUCUUGGCGUGACCGUGUCCGCACCGUGUUCCUGGUAUUUACAGUCUUACGAAAACCGCACUAAAGGCCCGUUUUUGCAGCUAUUUGAGGUGCGGUUUUUGUAGAGAUUUUGGUCAAAUUCAAGAAUGGCAAGGAAUAAACUUCCAGCUAAGUUGACUUUCAAGACAAACUUAAGUUGUCCCAGUCAAUCUUUACGGGUGAAUCAGCGCUCCUGUCAUCAAUGAGAGCUGUCAUCGUCCGAUGAAAAUCAACUCUACAUCCUCUCUUGAUCCACCAUGUUGGACAUUGCUGGAAACGUGGGGAAUGACGAAGAGUUGUGCUGCACACAAACCUAGUACGGCGUAGGCCAACACUGAAACAAAAAUUUGGUGAAAUAUUAUUCUCUUAACUCAUCAAUAACCUUUUAAUUUUUUUGCUAAUUAUCUAAAUUCCUCGCGUUUUUCCAAUUUUACUUGCAGCGUUUGAAAAGACACACCAAUAGAUCUUCUCAGCAAGGGUGUACUUUUUGCCCAUUUCAGACCACGUGUCAUAAUUCCCUGGAACAUCAUUCCUUUGUUUAACGAUUGCGCAUGAGAAGUGUACAAAUCAAGGCAAAGAAUCUUAUUCUCAAGAAAAGAUUGGCCUUCAGUUCACACGAAUAAGCCACUUAAAAACUUUUCGAAAACGCAAUGCGUGGACCAAUUAUUUUUUUCUUUCAAAACAAGGAAUAAAACAAUUUCUUUACAAA